UUACCUCUUAUCACGCUCAAGAAACGAACUCGCACCUUUCUGCAGACCUUUUCAAUCGGUUCCUCUCAAUUUCUCUGUCCCUUCACCGUGCGUUCAACCCAGGUGUUGGAGCUUCAGCUUUUGACUCCACUGCUGUUUUUUUUUCUUGAACAACCGUUGGUCACUUUCUCUUUCACUAGAGAUUGCUGUGAAUUUUCUGGGCAUAGACUACAGUGGGUUGUGUCGGUUUAAAGUGGUUUGAAGUUUUCGUGACUCUGUUAGGUGGUGUCACUACUAGAGUUCCAACUCAAGGUGUUGAUAAUACACGGAAGUCAGGUUAGCGGGGUUCAUAAA